rnacentral:rRNA from 1 species
GACGAACGCUGGCGGCGUGCUUAACACAUGCAAGUCGAACGGAAAGGCCCUGCUUUUGUGGGGUGCUCGAGUGGCGAACGGGUGAGUAACACGUGAGUAACCUGCCCUUGACUUUGGGAUAACUUCAGGAAACUGGGGCUACUACAGGAUAGGAGCUCCUGCUGCAUGGUGGGGGUUGGAAAGUUUCGGCGGUUGGGGAUGGACUCGCGGCUUAUCAGCUUGUUGGUGGGGUAGUGGCUUACCAAGGCUUUGGAGGAUAGCCGGCCUGAGAGGGUGACCGGGCACAUGGGGACUGAGAGACGGCCCAGACUGCUACGGGAGGCAGUAGUGGGGAAUAUUGCACAAUGGGCGGAAGCCUGAUGCAGCAACGCCGCGUGCGUGAUGACGGCCUUCGGGGUGUGAACCGCUUUCGCCUGUGACGAAGCGUGAGUGACGGUAAUGGGUAAAGAAGCACCGGCUAACUACGUG